rnacentral:lncRNA from 1 species
UAUUUCAGGCUGUUUGCUAGUUGACCAAUUUGCAUAAUUCACCCAGACCAUGGUCUCAUCACAAUGAUGUAAUGUUAAUGAAUAUUCAUAGUCAGACACUUGAAACAACAAAAAUCUGGAAACUGCUGAAAUGACACCACAGCAAGAGCAACUUUUAGAUAACAUAUACAUGUGCAUUUCACCACAGCGGAUCACGCGCACGUUUUAACCUUUUACCACUUGGAUAGGCCAGGGAACAUUUUAAAGCUGUUUGCUAGUUGACUCAUUUGCAUAAUUCACCAGACCAUGGUCUCAUCACAAUGAUGUAAUGAUAAUGAAUAUUCAUAGUCAGACACUUGAAACUACAAAAAUCAGGAAACUGCUGAAAUGACACCACAGCAAGAGCAACAUCUAGAUAGCAUGUGCAUGUGCGUUUCACCACAGCAAAUCACGAAAGUUGUAACCUUCUACUGCUCGGCCAGGGAACUUUUAAGUACAAAAAUUCUGAAGAAAAUUUAGACAUUGCACCUCUGCAACAAGUGGACCAGCCCUGCUUGGCUGAAUGGAGAAUUUUCCUUCCUCUACUGAAUGAAUGUGGCUACUGGUGAUUUGGCAAUUGAAGCUUUCUAUAAUAGUCUUUGUAAUUUAGUAAAUAAUUAUUGGAAAUAAUUUGAAUAAAUAAAUAUUCAUUGUAAUUUAGUAUCAUAUUGGAAAUAAUUUGAAUAAAUAAAUAUUCAUUGUAUUCAGUUUAGUAUUGAGUAUUUUUUCUUCUCGAGCAUUGAAAAAGCAGGAUGAGCAGGAUGGGGAAAAAAAAAAAGCGCCCUCGAAUAGAAAAAGGCCCAAAAUAUGACUAAGUUAUUUGGCCACAAUAGUCUGUCCGGUUCUGGUAAAAAUAGUGAAGAAAAUCACCCUAAAUAGCCUUUUUAAUUUAAAGUUUUUUAGGGUGUCUUAACUGUCAAUGGCAGUAAGCGCCCUCUAACAUCCAAUUUUUUCAGAAUAUCAUAAAAACUGGCUAUUAGAGGGUACUACAACCUUUAAUUAAAUUAAUGACAAAGACGACACCACCGAAAAACAUUAAACUAAAAUGGCUAUAGAGGGCGGUUUCCAGCACCACACAGGACCCCUUUAAAUAAUU